rnacentral:SRP_RNA from 1 species
GCCAGGUGUGGUGGCACGUGCCUGUAGUCCCAGCUACUUGGGAGGCUGAGCCAGAAGGAUUGCUUGAGCCCAGGACUUUGAGGCUGCAGUGAGCUGUGAUUGAGCCACUGCACUCUAGCCUGGGUGACAGAGCAAGACUCUAUCUCUA